rfam:Virgibacillus massiliensis genome assembly, contig: 000001
AAAGUCUGCAGGGGGAGCCGAUCGGCUGAGAGUGAACAUAUACAUUGUUCUUACCCUUCGAACCUGUUAGUUAGUACUAGCGUAGGGAUGGUGGCUUUUUUGAUG